rnacentral:rRNA from 1 species
UACGUAGGGGGCUAGCGUUGUCCGGAAUCAUUGGGCGUAAAGCGCGUGUAGGCGGUCCGGUACGUCCGCUGUGAAAGUCGAGGGCUCAACCCUCGAAUGCCGGUGGAUACUGUCGGGCUUGAGUACGGGAGAGGCGAGUGGAAUUCCUGGUGUAGCGGUGAAAUGCGCAGAUAUCAGGAGGAACACCUAUUGCGAAGGCAGCUCGCUGGGACGUAACUGACGCUGAGACGCGAAAGCGUGGGGAGCAAACAGG